rnacentral:rRNA from 1 species
CAGCCGCCGCGGUAAUACGUAGGGUGCAAGCGUUAAUCGGAAUUACUGGGCGUAAAGCGUGCGCAGGCGGUUUGUUAAGACAGAUGUGAAAUCCCCGGGCUCAACCUGGGAACUGCAUUUGUGACUGGCAAGCUAGAGUGUGGCAGAGGGGGGUGGAAUUCCGCGUGUAGCAGUGAAAUGCGUAGAGAUGUGGAGGAACACCGAUGGCGAAGGCAGCCCCCUGGGCCAAUACUGACGCUCAUGCACGAAAGCGUGGGGAGCAAACAGGAUUAGAUACCCCAGUAGUCCCUGUCUCUUAUAC